rnacentral:rRNA from 1 species
UAGGGAAUCUUCGGCAAUGGACGAAAGUCUGACCGAGCAACGCCGCGUGAGUGAAGAAGGUUUUCGGAUCGUAAAACUCUGUUGUUAGAGAAGAACAAGGACGUUAGUAACUGAACGUCCCCUGACGGUAUCUAACCAGAAAGCCACGGCUAACUACGUGCCAGCAGCCGCGGUAAUACGUAGAUGGCAAGCGUUGUCCGGAUUUAUUGGGCGUAAAGCGAGCGCAGGCGGUUUCUUAAGUCUGAUGUGAAAGCCCCCGGCUCAACCGGGGAGGGUCAUUGGAAACUGGGAGACUUGAGUGCAGAAGAGGAGAGUGGAAUUCCAUGUGUAGCGGUGAAAUGCGUAGAUAUAUGGAGGAACACCAGUGGCGAAGGCGGCUCUCUGGUCUGUAACUGACGCUGAGGCUCGAAAGCGUGGGGAGCAAACAGG